rnacentral:rRNA from 1 species
GGUCUCAGUUCGGACUGUAGGCUGCAACUCGCCUACACGAAGUUGGAAUUGCUAGUAAUCGUGGAUCAGCAUGCCACGGUGAAUACGUUCCCGGGUCUUGUACACACCGCCCGUCAAACCAUGAGAGUUGGCAACACCCGAAGUCGGUAGUCUAACCGCAAGGAGGACGCCGCCGAAGGUGGGGUUGAUGAUUAGGGUUAAGUCGUAACAAGGUACC